UUUCUCGGUCCUCUUUGCUUCAGGCGUCACGCGGCUUCACCUGCCAGCCCCCGCCUCCAUCCAUUGGAGCUGCCAAGGUCCGGGAACGCUGCGCCCCGGAGGGAAAUGAUCGGCGGGACAGCCAGCCAGUGACCACCGCGAACGGUGGACGGAGGGCGUGGCCCAUCGCUGGAGUGACGUCAGAAGAGGCAGGUCCCCAGCGGUGCAGGUGGAAAGGGCUCCCGAGAGCGGCUGGCGGAGGGAGAGCGGCUGCUUCUUAAAGGGCGAGGAGUCCUUUAACUCGCCCCUGACUCGCCGGGCUGCUCCGGGCCUGUUUUGCAAAAGUGACCGGCUCAGGCAAACUGGUUUCUUGUGACACGAGCCUCUUGGCGAAGCCUAAUUUACCUGUUGCGUUGUGAAGAAUUAUGAAUGUGACAGGUGUAUAUGCAGAAGGGCUGAAACAAACAAGUUGAAAGAAACUGGGAUUCAAGUAGCUACGCCUCCUCAAAUGGUAUCCAUUCAAGAAACUGUCAAGCACUGAAUCUGUUUAAUAUAGCCAAAUGUCUUUAUUUUAGGAAAUCUUUAUAGUAGGCCGCCGUUAUUAAUAUGCAUGACCAGAAACAUUUUCUCUCUCUCUCUCCCCCCGUAAAAGGCCUUUAGCACGUGGGGGGUUGCAUCUGUGUGUCUUUUAGCCACAGGAGCAGCCUAUUGUCGCCAGCUUGCAUCUCCUGCAGUGCUGUCUGUACCAUGACCCCCAAGAGAGGGGAGAGAAAAUGUUUUGAAAUUCCCUGAAUGCAGAUUUGCAGCCAGCUGGCUUUGACACACAAAUGAAGGUGAAAAGGGUGACUUUUCUGAGUUUGGAUGGAAGAGGCUAUUUUGAUUUCCUUUCCU